UAUGGCCACAUCAUGUUGAAACAUUGGUUCCUGUAUGAUCACCAAAGUUAAGCAAUGUCAAGCCUGGUCAGUAUCUAGAUGAGUGACUGCUUGGGAAUACCAGGUACUGUAA